AGCAAAGAACUUCCCAAGGACGACAACAAGAAAAUACGUGGAAAGCACCAUGGGUCCCACUCCUCCUCCCCCUUUCACCUACCUUUCUCUCUUUUGAAAUUUCAAAAUUCAAUUUAGGGCUAAAUUCUUUUUUCUGUUUUUUGAAAUUUCACAAACAGCUGAAACCAGGAUCCCCUCUCCCUCUCUCUCUUACCACCACUACGACCACCAUCACCGAUACCACCUCGACCACCAUCAACGCCAACACCCACCACAACCGGCACCUACCGCACCCCACCGACGCCGGUCCAACACUACUGUCUCCAUCGUCGCCAAACCAAGCACACCAGGACGCCCCCACUUCUGGCUUGUCCUACCCGACUGCGCCGCCGCCACCAACGAUUGCCGAAAUCACCCCUUGUCCAGCUUACUUUGGAUAAUCUGAAUUCGCCUCCCAAAACAUUCAAUGAAGGCUCUAAGAAUGGUGCUGUAAGGCUGGUAUUCAAAGGGUUCUGUUGAGAUGGGGGAGUUGAUCAAGGCUAAAGUGUCCAAGUGGAAGUUGUUGCCUUGCUGUUAUAUCUGUACCUGUUUGAUUCUACAACUGCUGCUACAGCUAUAGAAUUGGGAAUUUGAAUGAAUUUGACAUUUGCUCGUGUGCACCUAGCCACCAGUUGUAGUAAUUUUCUUUUUUGGAUUUUCAAUGUAUGGCUUAAUGACGAGGCUCAGCUUUGUACCCUCCUAACCACCUAGCUCAAUGUAUUUUUUGGAUUUUUUUGUACGUGUAGACUAUGUAGUUACAGUUUUUUUGUGCUUGGAAUGCAACUUCC